AGGCGCGCGAAGGGUGAAGCCUUUGCUGCUUCAAAAUCAUGCUAAAUUUAUUCAUCCCUCUCGUCAUUAUCAUUGGCAUGAACUCCGAACCAAAACCCCAACUCUCUGGAUAAAAUUGUAACAAAAGCUGAUUAGGACUUUUUCUUCUACUUAAGGUAUGAAUCAGAAUGAUGAGGCCAAGUUGUGAAUACACAAGUGUCAACGGACUAUAAUAUAUAUUGAGUUUGUGACAUUGGAAGGGUGUAAUAAUAACAAUAAUGGAGUCAUGUUAUUUGAAUAUUGAGGCUUAACAUUUAAACUCUCAGCUUCUCAGCCUUGUUUGAUUCUUCAUCUCAGGUAAUUCAAUCAAAUCAACCAGGCCUUCAUUUUCUUUUUCUCUUAGUUGAUUCUUAAUUUUUCUAAUAUAUGUAGAUUUUUGAAUCAAGUGGAUCAGAUUAUGUAGUUUUCUUGAUUUGGGAUAUUUUCGGAGAUGCAUUAGAAGAGCUAUUUUAUUAUUAUGUUUGCUAUAAUAAUAUUCAGAUGUUCUGUAUGCUUGUGAUUGUUUCGGUGGUUAUAUUUUCUUUCCAAGUCACUUGCUGUGGUUGUUCUUUGAGUUAAGGCUUUGUAUGUGUGUGUGAGAAUAUGUGAUAAUGUUGAAUGUUGUUGCAU